rnacentral:rRNA from 1 species
AACGAACGCUGGCGGCAUGCCUAACACAUGCAAGUCGAACGAGACCUUCGGGUCUAGUGGCGCACGGGUGCGUAACGCGUGGGAACCUGCCCUUAGGUUCGGAAUAACUCCCCGAAAGGGGUGCUAAUACCGGAUAAUGUCUUCGGACCAAAGAUUUAUCGCCUUUGGAUGGGCCCGCGUUGGAUUAGCUAGUUGGUAGGGUAAAAGCCUACCAAGGCGACGAUCCAUAGCUGGUCAGAGAGGAUGAUCAGCCACACUGGGACUGAGACACGGCCCAGACUCCUACGGGAGGCAGCAGUGGGGAAUAUUGGACAAUGGGCGAAAGCAUGAUCCAGCAAUGCCGCGUGAGUGAUGAAGGCCGUAGGGUUGUAAAGCUCUUUUACCCGGGAUGAUAAUGACAGUACCGGGAGAAUAAGCUCCGGCUAACUCCGUG